GUCUCAUAGGCAUAUUCAUCGUCAUAACUGUGAAACGGAAAAGUAACUAGUGUACGUAUAUAACAUGUAAAAGAUAAUAAAAACUUUGAAAAUAGAGGAGAAAAAAACAAUUAUAUCAACAAAAUGAAGUAUUAAACUCUGUAAUCUUUAUUCAACCAAAUAAUGUGUAAACAUUUCUCAUGACUUAUAACAUGUAUAAUGUCUUCAUUUAAAUGAACUACCCUUAAUCCAACUUAGUAUUAUCUUCCCAAUCUUUUUUUGUCAGACUUGAUGUAUUGUGCAGAUUGCGUUAGCAAUUACUCAUAUUUGUUAUGUUACGUGUGUGUGUUUUGAGGUACGCUCAUGUUAAACUGCACAUAACAUGUAACAUCUCACAGCAAGACUGCUUGAAACUAAUCAAGAGCAAGAAAAACAUGUUUCAAAGAGGAUAACAAUUGCUUAUCUCAAGUAUUUUCUACAUGUACAUGUUCACAGUCUUCAUUUAAAGUUUCUGGAUCCAACUGUUAUAUAGUACGUACUUUCAAGUAUAAAUCAAACGGUCCAUCACUUUUUAUUUAAACAAUUGUCCAAUGAUUUGUUUGUAUAUAUAUAAAAAAAACAUUAUAUAUCACAGUAAUGUUUUUCAAAGGAGAACAUCUUUUAACAAUACAGAUGUAUGUUAAAUUUAUACUGACCUAUUGAGGUAUAAAUGGAAAUGGCAUGUCAAGUGAAAGCAAUUUUUGAAUCGGGUUAUUUUUUUGAUUUCGAAUGUCAUUUGGCACCGACCAGUUAUCAAUCCGUUGACAUUCAAAGUUUAAUCUGUUACCAACCAUUUAAUUUUUUUAUCAUGUUAAAAAGCAACAAAAGCACGGUAGCAAUCAAAGUCAAUUAAAAAAAUCAAUAUUGACCAAUCAGGAAAAGACUUAGAAUCGAACACGGUCAAAAACAGUACAUAGAAAACUGAAGAUUAUCAAAUGUGUUGGUUAGUUGUUUCCUAUAGACUACAUUCUAUUUUUAACAUAUAUGAAAUAUUUGUGCACUGAAACAGAUAAAAGAUAAUAAUAUACAUACGAAGACAUUAAAUGGUAUAGGCGAAUAUUUUGCAGCACCAAAUGACUUUCAACAAAACUAGUCCUUCAAUAUGUAAUAAAUCAAUAGAUAUCAAGGUUUUGUGUGCAAAAAGAGCCGAAUUAUACAAUUAAACUUGCGAUCAUUUUAACCUUGAGUUUCAUCGAUCAAACAAACGAAACAUAACUUGUUUUCGUUGUAGUAGACGUGCAUUUGGAUGUAAAAAUCUACAACUAUAAGUAGACCUCAAUGUGAACCUUUUUAACAUCCCUAUUCUGUACUACUUAUACAAACAUAGUCCACAUCGUAACUAUAAUAAAAUUUUCAAAACCAGCAAUCAAUAGUGUUUUUGACAACACAAAUGGUGAUAAAAGGUAAAUGUUAGCAGCUGAAAAAAUAACCAUAGUGACAACAUAUAUGUUUACGCAUAGAUUUAUUGAAAUGGAAUUUUUCUUAAGUGUAGAAUUGUUAUCGAUAUUGAUAUGAAAAGGUUUUAUACAUAAUACACAAAUCACAGACCUUCAAAAGCAGACCUUUUAUCAAAUACUCCCCACGUCUGUGUCUGAGUUUUUACGAUUCUUAAACAUGUUGACAAUACAAACUCUGUUUCAACAUAUCAAAGUAUGUUCCUUAUAUAUGUGACCGAACAAAGAAAAAUGCAAGGUUUCUCAUAUAAUUGAGGCAACCAUUUUAUUUUCAAUCUGAAGGUGUUAAGUAACAGUUGUUUUAGUUUUUAUUACGUUUAAUGUUUACUGAUUUGUAAUAUACCAGAAUGAAAAUUAAAGUAUAAAUGUAACUUUUAUGUAAAUUAACAGUUAGGAAAUGCUUUUAAGAUAAACUUUUCAAAAACGUGUUUAAAAGUUGCAAACACGUCUUUAAAUUCAUAAAGACACACACAGACUUUUAAUAGUUGUAAUUGUUAUCAUUAAGCAGCUGUAAUCGAUUGCAAGUUUUCAAGUAAUCCUUGUAAUUAUUUAUCAGCCAUAUAAUUAUCUGAUUACAUGUCAUUUAAUUUAAUCAAUUACUUUUUAAAAUACCUUGUCAUCCUGAUUACGUUUUGAUUAUAUUCUGACUACAACGAAAACAAAUCUCAAAUUGUGUUUAUUGUCAAUACAUAAUGUAUUAAUGCAUAUUUUUUAAAUUUAUAUUUGAUAAAUAUAUAACUCAGGCAGGAAAACCGAGGUUGUAAAACCUUAGUAUUCAAGUGCUUGGCAAUAUUCCAGGAAAUGGGUAUUACUGGGCAGUAUGAUUUUUUAAAACUCUGUUUUAAGGACAGACUUAUUGUAGUUUCAUAGUAGCAGUAUAGCUAAAUGAAUAAAUUUAAUACAGAUAACCAUUGAGAGUGAGUUUUAGAGGAUUAAAGAUGUAAUGUGUUAAUGUUUUCCAAUUAUUCUGUGAAGUUCUGCACAAUUUAGGAUACUUUGUUCAUUUCCAUACUUUAUUUUCAAUAAUCCAACCUCUGAAAAAAAAUUGUUUGAUCAAAUUGAUAAAAAAACCCACCCUUAUGGGACAUGUCAUGAAAAAUUAUGAAAAUGAAAAUCUUAAUAUUGUCAUCUAAACAAAUCUGUGUUAAAAUUGGAUAACUACUUAUCAAUUAGUGAUGAACAUAUACGUAUGCCGCUUGUUAACCCUGUUUAGUAAUGAACACAAAAUGUUUAAAAGCAAUUGUUCUUACAUAUAACAUUUUUGGUUAACAAUUCUAAAUUAAUAGUUAUAUAUAUGUUUAAUAAACAUCAAAUAAAGUUAUUUGGCUUUAUCAUGUUUAUUUUUGAUCCAUCUAGACCGAAUAUUGAAUUAAUAGAUUUUAACAAUUAUAAUCCAAGUCUCUAAAUAGUUUUUGAUUUGUUUUGUUAUUUGAUUUUGCCAUGUGAUUAUGGACUUUUCGAUUGAAUUUUCCUCUGAGUUCAGUAUUUUGUGAUUUUGCUUUUUAUUAAUUACAACACUAUGUUUGAUUGUUUAUACAUAUCUUUAGUGUAUUGUAUUUGUGAUAUAUAUCUUUUAAUCCUUUUUUUUUUAAAAAUCAGGUCAGUAUUAAAUAUUACUUAGUAUUGCCGACUAUUACCAUCGUUUUCAAGUAUUUCCCACUGGUCUUGGCAAUUGUCAUUGCAAAAUGUAAAACCAUGGUUUUGCCAACCCUGAUAUAUAACUUGUUAAAAGAGUUUUGUUUAACUUCGUCAUGUUAAGUUAUUAUGAAAUACGAGUAUACAUGUAAUUUGAUAAAAACGAUUGUUAUUAAACCUUUAUUCAUUAACAUCAUUUAAAUUGGUUAUUUAGAUUGUUAUUAAACCUUUAUUCAUUAACAUUUGGUUAUUUCAAAAUUUAUUGUAAGCAGAUGUAAUCAUUAUUACUUGCCAUUGCAAUCAUGAUUACUUACCAAUGUAAUCAUCAGUUUAUUUAGCUAAUUUGAGAAAUGGGGAUAAUCAUUAAUUUAAUUUUAUCGUACAAGUGAAAAUGUAAUUGUCAUUCAAUUGAUUACAUUGAAAGUAAUUGGACCCAUCUCUGGAUACUAAACGUUUGUUUGUAAUUUGUUAGCCCGUUACAUUUUAAAGUUCAUUUUCAACAAUAUUACUUUUUACUUUUCUUGUUUUUCUUGAUUAAUAAUAAAAAUACUGUAUAAAUGUAUUCCAUAUGUGUUUUCAUGACAACCUCUGUUUUCACUCCCUAUUGUAUUUUUAUUGAUAUUGCAUUUUCCUUGUAAACAUGUAUGGGGUUUAUUAUAGAAAAAGAGUAUCCAUCUUUCUAUCUAAGGAUUAACUUAAAUUAAGACGUAAAUUGCUGCAAACACAAUGGAUAUUUGUUGUGGUCAUUUUUUCAUAUUAGUCUGAGUUUAUUUGAUGAAUUAACUGAAAUAUCAAUGAAUUUUGUUACAAAUAAGUAUACAUUUAUAACUGGCCAUUUGUGUCUUUAUUUUCAACUUUAAAUUUUUUUUCUUUUUGCAUUUAUAACAUUGCAGCAUUAUUCACUUUUUUCAUUUAACGCCUCAAACUCAUGGUGUCAUGCAUAUGCGUAUAGGUGAAGGUAGACUUUUAUUUUCGUAAUUUAUUUAGGACAGUGCCCUGUGCUCCAAUAUUAAAAUCAUACAAAACACAUUAUUAGCUUAUUCAUAAUUCGCCAAAUACAAAUUAGAUCCGUGCACCAAAAGAAAUUUUCAACAUCUUUUGACAGAGCGAUUUCAUUGUUCGAAAAUGCUUAAUACGUGUUGACAACUGUUUGCAUAUUAUGUCACUUUCAUUUAUGUGGCUGAUUGUAAUUUGUAAAUUCGCAUGGCGGGUGACGCAGAAGACGCUUACUCGUCAUCCCAUCGGUUUUCGCACCUUUGCAAUUCGUGCAAUUCGUGCAAUUCGUUUAUAUUUGUUUGUUACUUUGAUUUGUUUCUUGCAGUUGAAAGACGUCAAUUGAACAUCGGUAAACUAUCAUCAUGAUCAUCGCCUCAGUAUGAUAAAAAUCAAUGAAAGAAUUGAAACACAUGGUGAAGUUUAAGUCAUCCCUUCGUAAAUUUUACGGACGCCAUCAUGAAUUGGUUGUCGUUAUGGAAUAACCGUUUAACAGAUGAUAUCAGAAAUGCUUCUCAUGUAGAAACUAUAGUACCCUCCCCUUUUCUCGAAAGUGACCUACCGAAUUCGAUUGAUUACUGGAUUUGUAAUAACUCAAGCAACACGACGGUUGCCCCAUGUCACAUGUGGAGCAGGAACUGCUUAUCCUUCCGGAUAAACUGAGAUUAUCCCAGUAAGCUGUCCCUCUGGUAUAUUUCGCCCCUCUUUUGUUUUUACCGAUUUUGAUUUGUUCUAAUGCUUGGUCAAUGUUUUGGUCAUGUUUGUUAAUCACUCUGUACGUAAAAGAACCUUUGUAAUUACUCGCUGAUCUUUUCAGACUACUUAUUGAAAAAUGUUUCCUUUCACAUGUACAACAAUCAUUCGUUGUUAAGGGAAGCUAAGAUAUUUAUUUCGAUCAACCAAUCAUACCCGAGAUCUUGUUAUUUUGUUCUGAUGAAGAAUUGCAUGCAUUAUUUAGGCUUCCCAAAAUAAUGUCUUUAUUUGUUCUACUUUCAGGUGUUCAUUUAUGCGACAACACAAAGUAAAACAAGUUUGUCGAAACAUUGAUUAACAUGUUUUACAUGUCUACUGUACAAAGCAACUGUUACAAACAGUAUUGAUUUUCUUGUGUUCUUUAUUUACAUAUUAUUGUAUAGCAAUAUAAUAUUUCCCACCGAAAGUAACCAAAAGUUAGCGUGCAAUAUAAUAUAAUAUUGCACUAGUGCAAUAAUCUUCAAAAUUCAUGACG
rnacentral:lncRNA from 1 species